rnacentral:lncRNA from 10 species
CUUUUUAUUAGGUUCUAUUAUAAGAGCAGGCACAAAUGGAUGAAACACAGGGAGUCUAGCAGUGCCAUUAACAUUUAUUAAGAAAACCAAGUCAUGAUCCACUUAUUUCCGUUUUUAAAAUACAGAACAUAAGAAACAGCAUACACAAUACUGGACAUCACAGGACCCUCUCCGGCUGGAUACCAGGCUGUAGAACCACCAGAUGCUUCAGAUGAGAAAGGUUGGAUCUGUUUCACAGGGAAGGGGCUAAACUGUUUCAAGAGGCGACCACGCGCUGGGCACUCUGGUAAAUGUUUGACAUAAUUUCAUUUAUUUGAUCUUGUGGUGGUAACUCUGUGGGGUAGAUAUUAUCUUCCAUAGAUAGUUGAGGACACCAAAGCCCAGAGACAGUAUGAUGUGGCCAAGGCUUCAAAGCCAUUCUGUGGCCGAGCCAGGACAGGAACCCAGACCUGUUUUCCAGGCUUUUCUGCUUCGUCUCUACCAUACCGGUGUCUGUUCACGUGGCUUAGUGAGGCUGGAGGGCUCUCCCUGCUGCCCUCUCUGACUGCCAUAAAUGUCCGUUGUUCAUGAUCUCGCUCAGAUUUGGGGCGGCAGCCACUUCUCACUAUAAUCACAUAGGCAAACAUUUUCUGAGAAAUAUCUUCUUUCUCUAGUCUGGAAUGGUCAAUAACUUCACUCACAAGCACGUUUCUAACAAAAUGCUUUUGCUGCUUUUAUCUUCACAGAAAAGUAACCUAAGUAUUUCAUAUAUAUACAAACUUCUUUUUUAUUCUGUAGAUCUUAGUAGGUUUAUACGCUUUAGCAUCUCUCUAAUUCUUAUUAAAUGCUAGCUAAAUGCCAUUAAAUGCCACUUUUACUAAGACUUUCUUGAGAUCCGUUUUGGUGCAUAAAAUACUUAAAGUAUGCAAUUCCACAGUUACACAGGCCACUGGUGUAGUUGCAGAUUCUAUUACUGCUACCAAGGAAUUUGUAAUUUAAAACUUAUUUUCAUUAUUUUUAAAACUCUCAACAAUUAUCCAGAGUUUCUUUAUCAGAGAUAUUAAACAGAAGAAAUUGAGAUAGGUUAGAUUAGAGGAAAAGUAAAAGACUACAAUACUAGACAUCUCUGCCAACCCAAAAUUAUCUAACAUAUGAAUUUUCAAAAUAGCCCUCCUUUUGUUCUGAUUAUAAAAAUUAAUAUACUUCUUGCCAAAAAUUGAUAAAAAACAGAACUAGGAAAACAAAAUUAACAACUCUAAUAUUUUCAUGAAUUUUUUUAAAAAAAUUAUUUUAUUUUAUAAUACCAGCAAUUAAACAAUUUUUUAGGCUGAAUAUUUAAAGAAUAGACCUAUUAAGAUCAAGCCUACAAGUAUGAAUAUAUUGAAUAUAUUUCUUUAUGUAUACAUACAUGUAAACAAACUCCUGCCAUCUAUAUAUUUUUGUUUGUUUGUUUGUUUUUGAGACAGUGUCUCGCUCUGUCACCCAGGCUGGAGUGCAGUGGUGUGAUCUCGGUUCACUGCAACCUCAACCUCCUCGGCUCAUGUGGAUCCUCCCACCUCAGCUUCCUAAGUAGCUGAGACUACAGUACUUUGCAACCUACCAAGUAUCAUCACAAGAGCUAUGAAAGUGAAGAGAGACAUACGUUAUCUAAGAAUCUGAGAGAGAUGACUCAGUCAGCAUCCUCUCUCUUGGUGUACAAUGGUAGGGACAGCUACUGUGUCAUCUGGAGCAUGACAAUGAGAACACAGACACUGGAUCGUCCUGAUAUAGCCUGCAGUCCAUCUGGGCCUCUAGACAUUCAUUUGCAUUUGCAUUCAUGCGCAUCCCCUACUACUCCAACUCCUACACCUUUUGGCAGGAUAUAUCCACACAGCUGGAUUGGAAUCACAAGAUGUUUUUAUUUUUUGCCUCAUUAAACUAGUUUCUCUCAAGCAAUGUGUGUUUUCUUUAUAUUCCAG